UAUGGCCAUAUCACGGUGAAACACUGGUUCACGUACGAUCACCGAAGUUAAGCAACGUCGAGUUUGGUCAUUACGUAAAUGUGUGAGGGCUUGAGAAUACCAGGUGUUGUAAG